rnacentral:rRNA from 1 species
AUACGGAGGGUGCAAGCGUUGUUCGGAAUCACUGGGCGGAAAGGGCGCGCAGGCGGUUUGGUAAGUCAGAUGUGAAAGCCCACGGCUCAACCGUGGAAGUGCACUUGAAACUGCCAGACUUGAGUACCAGAGGUGAAAGUGGAAUUCCCGGUGUAGAGGUGAAAUUCGUAGAUAUCGGGAGAAAUACCGGUGGCGAAGGCGACUUUCUGGCUGGAUACUGACGCUGAGGCGCGAAAGCGUGGGGAGCAAACAGGAUUAGAAACCCUAGUAGUCC